GCCAAACCAUAAACAAAUGUCAUCCAUCCCAGGAAUCGCAGAACCAGCAGUCCAUAUCCCGCAGGGGACUCGUAUACGUAGAGAACUUUCCCCGGAUCAAAGUACUGUUGUUCAGUACACAAAAGUGAUGAAUAAAUAGGUGAAGAGGGCGAUGUAAGUCACGCAGUAGAGCGACAUGAAAACAGUCACCUUGACAACCGACCGUGAUCGAAGUCUAGCCCGCGUCACUGUGUAACCUUUGCCCAGCAAUAUCAGCAUCAAAAUGUAAAAGAUUUCCGAUGUGGCCUCGAACAUCCGUCCUAUGAAAGGAGCCGAUCAAGGAGACAUUGACAUUUCCAUGUAGAAAUGCCUUUAUUAUGUAUUUGUUACCUAACGUUUUCAGACCAACAGAUCCAACUCCGUCGUUAGCAUAUUUUCCGUAAGCGACAGUUAGCAGAAAGAGGCCGACUGCUUGGAGAAGAACGCUCGUGAUGAACAUCUUAUUCACAAGACUUACUCCCGCACAUGAUGCACACAAUCGACAGAGUAACUUGUGCCAACAGGAAACCAAUCAACAUAUGUAAAAUAUCUGAAAAAUUCGUCGGCGGAAAAUUGCUGGAACCAAAUAUCAUCACUAGGCCCGUUCGUCAUCCAGAAACGUCACCUUUGAAGAUGGACAGUUACUAACAGCAAUGAACCACCAACGCUCCCUCGACGAACGGAAGGUCCUGUUUCCGACGCACCGGUAUUUAGCCUUAUCCUGAUCCAGCCGGAUGACUUGGCAUUCCGCCGACCGAGAUGCUGAGGUGGAAACAGGAAGCAGAUCAAGGCCGAUAUCACAGCCAGCCGAUUCAUGGCUACUCAAUAAUCAUCGGCGAGACACGGCCAAACUCUGACUGUAACAAAUGCUGGGCACUUGGAGUGCAGUCGAGGGCCAGUAUACUAAAGUGGGCAAAGGAGGGUGGUGUAGGGGUUGGGCAACGAUUGUCCUGUGACUAUGGCAACCAUAAAGGAACAACAGUAACAGCCCGUGCUUGGGAUUUCCCUCAAGCAAAUCGAAGUUUACUUAUUAUUAAUACUGUGUAUUUUUUUUUAGAGAUCAACUAAUUAUGUUUCAUGGCUUUUUUAGAUCGGCUAGACGUUGAGCUACUGGUAUUAUCAUCUUUUACAUUUGACGACAAAAUACUUUUCGAAUCUUCAACUCGUUUUGCAAUCCAUUCUGGAACGUUGCUUGGAGCUGCCCAAGCGAGUUGUUUGUUGUACAUUACUGCCAUCACUGCACAAUGAACACCAACCAAUCCCAGAAUAAUCAAGUUUAUGUGUAACAGCUCUCCCAGCAG